GUGCUCACUUUGGCAGCACAUAUACUGAAAUUGGAAUGAUACAGAGAAGAUUAGCAUGCCUCCUCUGCAAGGAUGACAUGCAAAUUCGUGAAGUGUUUCAUAUUAGA
rnacentral:snRNA from 1 species